CAAAAAACAUGUAAAAUUUGCUUCUCAAAAUAGUAAAUUUGGAAGUGAAAUAAAUAAAGUAGUUGACAAAAGAGCGUAAUUCAGGGAAGAGACCAAGGAAUUAAGGGGAAAUAAAAAGAAAGAAAGGUCGGCAAAACAUGGAGAAAUAAAAGGAAAAGAAAAGAUUAGUGGAAUAAUCAAAAGUAAAAGUGUUAUGAGCUAGGGAAGCAAUUGUGUCGAAACGUGUGUUUUAGAGCGAUCGAUAAUUUUCGAGUCGGGAAGUGUUAGACUACCAGCUAACGAUGUGAUACCAAAAUCUGGAAAAUCUCUGUCCAAAAACGUUGAGGAAAUAGCUGAAGAGUCAUUAGAUAAGACUGUUGAUGUACCACUUGAAUUUGUAUAGGCUAAUGUUUUACGAAGAAGGUCCUGCGUAGCAUGGAAAGAAGGUGGAGACUUGGCAUAAUUGUUCACAGUAGCCAUAUCACGGUGCAAAUCUUUGCUGUGAAGUGUCGGUGAAUGAUUAGAUGACCGGGGACUGUAUUUAGAGGAUUCACUGUUUACAGAUUGAUUUUCGCGCUUAUCUUCGUGAGAUAGAAUCGAUAGCUGAGGGGAAAUUAAAUCACUUAAACACGUAGAAGCAGAAAGUUGCGUACUACCAGACUUGGAGUUAGGAGAGUUAUUCAACAAAGCUUCUUGACUUUUAUUUAUAGCAACAAGAAAUUCGGUUGAAGGCAAAGGACGGUCAAAUUCCUUCGCUUUGGGGGAAGUAGAAUCUUCAGAAGAUGAAAUAAUGAAGUUUCGUAACUUGAGAUUCAAAGGAGUAGAUGGGCGUAUUUGGGGUAAAACGGGAAAAAAUGUUGAAGAGGUGA